UGGGGAAUAUUGCACAAUGGGCGCAAGCCUGAUGCAGCCAUGCCGCGUGUGUGAAGAAGGCCUUCGGGUUGUAAAGCACUUUCAGCGAGGAGGAAGGUGGUGAACUUAAUACGUUCAUCAAUUGACGUUACUCGCAGAAGAAGCACCGGCUAACUCCGUGCCAGCAGCCGCGGUAAUACGGAGGGUGCAAGCGUUAAUCGGAAUUACUGGGCGUAAAGCGCACGCAGGCGGUUUGUUAAGUCAGAUGUGAAAUCCCCGGGCUCAACCUGGGAACUGCAUUUGAAACUGGCAAGCUAGAGUCUCGUAGAGGGGGGUAGAAUUCCAGGUGUAGCGGUGAAAUGCGUAGAGAUCUGGAGGAAUACCGGUGGCGAAGGCGGCCCCCCUGGACGAAGACUGACGCUCAGGUGCGAAAGCGUGGGGCAGCAAACAGGAUUAGAUACCCUGGUAGUCCAGCGCUGUAAACGAUGUCGAUUUGGAGGUUGUGCCCUUGAGGCGUGGCUUCCGGAGCUAACGCGUUAAAGUCGACCGCCUGGGGAGUACGG
rnacentral:rRNA from 1 species